rnacentral:lncRNA from 1 species
GGGGAGCAUGCAAAAAAAAGAAAAAAAGGCCACAGGGAAAUAAUUUGGGUAGUCCUAUGAGGCUGUAGGUUUUCCGACUAGAGAUGGGGGCAGAAAUCCUUGUUAAGAAAUAUUAAUCCUUCUUAAGAAAUCAGAACUAUUAAGAAAGCAACUUUUCUAUCCCUUGACAAUGAGCAAAAGAAAAAGAUCCUGCCUUGAGUCAAAGCAAGAAGCAGCUCUCCAUGAUACGUUUCUCACUGGCCUGACUUGACUCACUCCAGAUGCUGGACUUCUACAGCAGCAGAGGUGAACAUCUGUCAAUAUGCUGCCAGAGAGGCUCUGAGAUCCACAAGAAGUGCAUCAGCCAGGAGGCAUCUGGAUCAAAAGCUGGUGAGGUUUGUGCUCCAGCUGUAACACCACAAGUGACCACGGGUAAACUUUUAGACCAUUACUGACCAAUAGCAUCUUCUGUGAUACUGAAACUGUGUGUAUUUAUGCUGUUCAAUGGGGUAGACACUGGCCACAUGUGGCUGUUGAGUACUUG